CUUGAGAGAGCUUGCUCUCUCAGUUAGUGGCGGACGGGUGAGUAACACGUGAGCAACCUGCCUUUAAGAGUGGGAUAACGGUCGGAAACGACCGCUAAUACCGCAUAAUAUACAUGAAUCGCAUGGUUUGUGUAUCAAAGAUUUAUCGCUUAAAGAUGGGCUCGCGUCUGAUUAGCUGGUUGGUGAGGUAACGGCUCACCAAGGCGACGAUCAGUAGCCGUACUGAGAGGUAGAACGGCCACAUUGGGACUGAGACACGGCCCAGACUCCUACGGGAGGCAGCAGUGGGGAAUAUUGCACAAUGGAGGAAACUCUGAUGCAGCGAUGCCGCGUGAGGGAAGAAGGUUUUCGGAUUGUAAACCUCUGUCUUAAGGGACGAUAAUGACGGUACCUUAGGAGGAAGCUCCGGCUAACUACGUGCCAGCAGCCGCGGUAAUACGUAGGGAGCGAGCGUUGUCCGGAAUUACUGGGUGUAAAGGGAGUGUAGGCGGGAUGGUAAGUUAGGUGUGAAAUGCGGAGGCUCAACCUCCGAGCUGCACUUAAAACUGCUGUUCUUGAGUGAAGUAGAGGUUGGCGGAAUUCCCAGUGUAGCGGUGAAAUGCGUAGAUAUUGGGAGGAACAUCAGUGGCGAAGGCGGCCAACUGGGCUUUUACUGACGCUGAGGCUCGAAAGCGUGGGGAGCAAACAGGAUUAGAUACCCUGGUAGUCCACGCUGUAAACGAUGAUUACUAGGUGUGGGGGGGGCU
rnacentral:rRNA from 1 species